GAUAGACAUCCUUCCCAGGGCGUGGGAGUCUCGCAGGCGCAUUGAGGGACAUUCGCUUCAGGCCCAAGGACGGAGGCUCCACCCCUCGAGUUCUACCCACUCGUUAAUGGCACUUUUUGUAUAUAGAAGGAUAGUGUCUAAGGGACACAGCGUCAGGGGAUCCAGGGCUGUUUUACUGUCAGAGUGAUGGGUGAAGGUCCCAGCCAAAUGAACAGCAAAACCAGAUUUGGACAGAAAAGACAGGUGAGGAAAUGAAAACAGAGGAAGUGACCUGCCCGAGGUCACGCAACCAGUAAGCAAUGGAACUGGAUUUAUACAUAGGCCACUUGGCUCCGAAUCCCUGUUCUUAACCACAACACUGACACCAACUGUCAAGUUACUUUUUGUGAGCUCGUCUAGUGUGGAUUCCUAACAAGUACUUUGUCAUCCUGCCCCCGCUUUGAUCUGUCAGCAAACCCUGUAAGUUCCACCUUCAGAAUAUGCCAGGAUCUGAGCUCUCGUCUCUGCGUCCACUGCCGCCACCACCAUCGCUGGUCUGGACAAUUGCAGCAGCCUCCUCACCACUGCCGUCCUCGCCCCCUCUCCUCAAUCUGUUCUCACGGCAGCCAGAAUGAUCCUGUUGCAACCCAAGUCAGCCCAGGGCCCUCCUCUGCUCAGAGCCCUGCCGUGGCUCUCAUCUCUCUCAGAGAAAAAGCCAAAGUCCUCUCGGUGACCCACGAGGCCCUCUGGACCCUCCCUGACCUCACCACCUGCCACUGGCCCCUGGCUCACUCUGCUCCUGCCCCACUGGCUUUCUUGGUGUUCCCCACACACCAAGCAGCUCCCUCCUCAGGGCCUUUGCACCUGUUUGCUUUUACCUCUGCCUUUAAUUCUCCUCUUCCAGAUGUCGUAGCAAGGUAAGACUGACAGGUUUGGCCGGAAAUGAAACGAGCCCUUGUUACAUUCGGAUGUUAUAUACAUGGACCACGAAAGCAAGAACAGCCACAGAUUCUGGUUCAUGUCUCUUGGGCCUGGCAACAUCAAAAUGAAAGGGGCGAGAUGACCAUACCCCAGGUGGCAGGACACCUUGUUGCUGAGGAGCUCAUUUCAUGCUGCAGCUAAGCAGUUCUAUAACCCAGAGGUGAGGGGUAGAAAGCCUCAAACCCCACCAGAACAUCAGGAGGUGGGGAGAAAACUGUCUCACAACAGGCUACUUGGUAGAUAGGGAGGUGAAUGGUAAAUGGCCUCGUGAGAGCUCCCCACAAACCUUCCGUGCUCUGUGUUCCAAGGAUUACAGGGCGUUCUGCCAAGACUUACAUCAACUUACCUGCGUGGCCUGUGUGGAGAUGUGCAAGGGAGCCAGAGCGCUGUGGAGGAACCAUUCCCACGAACUAGAUCACUGGAUAUCCUCCUUGACUGCUCUCCCUCGAACAUUGGGUCUCUGUUGAAAGGCACCUUCUCAGAGUCACCUUCCCUGACUGCCAUGUGUAAACCAGCACAUCUCACUCUCCACCCCAACCCUGCUUUAUUUCCCUUAAUGUUUCCCAUGCCCUAACAUUACAUUACACAGCAAUGUUUUAGCUUAUUGUAGGUGGACCCCACCAAUGCAUGAUUCCUGAGGGAAAGACAUGUCCUGUCUGCUGUGGUGUCCCUGUUGUUAUUAUGUGACACACAGAAUAAAUGCUAACAUUGACUGACUCUGUCCCAA